AGUGAACGCUGGCGGUAGGCCUAACACAUGCAAGUCGAACGGCAGCACAGUAAGAGCUUGCUCUUACGGGUGGCGAGUGGCGGACGGGUGAGGAAUACAUCGUAUUCUAUUUUUCGGGGGGGAAUAAUUUGGGACAACUGCUACUAAUACGUAAAACGUCUAAAGGGUAAAAGUAGGGGUGCUAGGAACCUUUGCCUAUGUAAUAGGCCGAUGUCGGAUUGGUUAGUUGGCGGGAUAAGGGCCAACAAAGGCGAGGACCCGUAGCUGGUCUGAGAGGAUGAUCAGCCACACUGGAACUGAGACACGGUCCAGACUCCUACGGGAGGCAGGAGUGGGGAAUAUUGGACAAGGGGCGCAAGCCUGAUCCAGCCAUACCGCGUGGGUGAAGAAGGCCUGCGGGUUGUAAAGCCUUUUGUUGGGAAAGAAAAGCAGCAGGUUAAUACCCCGCUGUUCUGACGGUACCCAAAGAAUAAGCACCGGCUAACUUCGUG
rnacentral:rRNA from 1 species